AUGGCAUCUAGAGGGCGUAGCUGUAUCCUUUUUGCAGUCAAUGAAAUGGAUGUCCCCGUGCAGAAGCGGGGAUUAUUACAUAAGACGAGAAGACCCUAUGGAGCUUUAGACACUGGAGUGGAUCAUGUCAAUGACCCUAAAUAAAGGAUUGAGCAAGAUGGAACCCACCCUGAUGUCUUUGGUUGGGGCGACCGCGGGGAAAUAAAUAACCCCCAUGUGGAAUGGGAGCACCCCUCCUACAGCUGAGAGUUACAACUCUAAUAAACAGAAUUUCUGACCAAAAAGAUCCGGCAAUGCCGAUCAACGGACCUAGUUACCCUAGGGAUAACAGCGCAAUCCUCUUUUAGAGCCCAUAUCGACAAGGGGGUUUACGACCUCGAUGUUGGAUCAGGACAUCCUAAUGGUGCAGCCGCUAUUG
rnacentral:rRNA from 1 species